GAUGAAUGCUGGCGGCGUGCCUAACACAUGCAAGUCGAGCGGCAGCGAGUUUUACACUGAAUUCUGGAAGCUUCUGGGUAAUAUAGAAGAUUUAUUCAAGAAUUUUGUGUAAAAUGUCGGCGAGCGGCGGACGGCUGAGUAACGCGUAGGAAUUUGCCCCAAAGUGAGGAAUAACUGCCCGAAAGGGUAGCUAAUGCCGCAUAUGGUCUUCGGAUUAAAGCCUUCGGGCGCUUUGGGAGAAGCCUGCGUUGGAUUAGGUAGUUGGUAGGGUAAUGGCCUACCAAGCCGACGAUCCAUAGCUGGUCUGAGAGGAUGAUCAGCCAGACUGGAACUGAGACACGGUCCAGACUCCUACGGGAGGCAGCAGUGAGGAAUCUUCCACAAUGGGCGAAAGCCUGAUGGAGCAACGCCGCGUGAAGGAUGAAGGCCUUCGGGUUGUAAACUUCUUUUAUGAGUGAAGAAUAUGACGGUAACUCAUGAAUAAGCACCGGCUAACUACGUGCCAGCAGCCGCGGUCAUACGUAGGGUGCAAGCAUUAUCCGGAGUGACUGGGCGUAAAGAGUUGCGUAGGCGGUUUAAUAAGUGAAUAGUGAAACCUGGUGGCUCAACCAUACAGACUAUUAUUCAAACUGUUAAACUCGAGAAUGGUAGAGGUAACUGGAAUUUCUAGUGUAGGAGUGAAAUCCGUAGAUAUUAGAAGGAACACCGAUGGCGUAGGCAGGUUACUGGGCCAUUUCUGACGCUAAGGCACGAAAGCGUGGGGAGCGAACCGG
rnacentral:rRNA from 1 species